CUGGGCGCAACUUUCAGGUUUCCUCACUGUGAAUUAUGAAUAUAAACUAUAUUAAAAUUACUGUAACCCAAUGUGCUUCAUGCACUAUCCGGCAUCCAAAGGAUCCUCUUUUGCCCAUGUUGGGGUUUUUGAAACUGGAAAGAAGACUGAUUUCUGCAGAUGCUUCAGAAAAAAUCUUUGCCAUGAGUUAAGUCUACUGUGUGAUGUUAACAUAUAUAUAUAAAAAAUAUAUAUAUAUCACAUGCAUUCAAUAAUUAUAUAUUCAAUUUAUAUGUUUUUGAAAAUAACACACAUACUCGAAGUAGCAUGUGUAAUAGGGAAAUUUCCUAAAAUUCGUACACUGAGUACAUCGUAUUUUUCUAAUGAUUUCAUUAAUAGAGCAGCUUUCUUGAUGCAGCCCUUUUCACAUGUUACUGGUAUUUACCGUCUUUCAUCAAAUAUGUCUUUAGAGUCGACUCAAGGCAAGAUGUGGUAGAGAAAUGUAAGAAUCAACUAGCGGAGCCAUUUAACUAGUAGGUGCAUCUUCUCCAGCAAGUUCUUCAGCAUCCUUUCCAGAAGCAUUCAACAGCCAAGGAAGCAGGCUACACCUCAUCUACUCCUUCCUGGGCUAAAGAUCUCAAACUUAGUUGCUUAAUUCGGGAAAAAUAAAUUACAAAUGAAUUAAAGAAUUCUUCUAUCAUUACAC